rnacentral:rRNA from 1 species
AACGAACGCUGGCGGCAGGCUUAACACAUGCAAGUCGAGCGCCCCGCAAGGGGAGCGGCAGACGGGUGAGUAACGCGUGGGAAUCUACCUUUUGCUACGGAAUAACUCAGGGAAACUUGUGCUAAUACCGUAUGUGCCCUUCGGGGGAAAGAUUUAUCGGCAAAGGAUGAGCCCGCGUUGGAUUAGCUAGUUGGUGGGGUAAAGGCCUACCAAGGCGACGAUCAGUAGCCGGCCUGAGAGGGUGAACGGCCACAUUGGGACUGAGACACGGCCCAA